rnacentral:rRNA from 1 species
AGAGAUUAGCCCACAUCGAAGCCACCAUGCAAUUGCGUGGGAGGCAAUGUGAUGUUUUGAUGUCUGAACGCACUGUCUGACUAACUUGAAGUCCAUAUUUGACUGUGGCUUGUAUUUAUACACCCAGAGAUGGUGAUAGGCCCGUUCAGGUUGGUAUUUGGCAUGGCAGCACAGUGUGUAUUCAUUCAUCAUAGAGUCGGAUUGCUUGAGAAUGCAGUCCAAAAUGGGUGGUAAACUCCAUCUAAGGCUAAAUACCUGUACGAGUCCGAUAGUCAACAAGUACCGUGAGGGAAAGUUGAAAAGUACUCUGAAGAGAGAGUAAAUAGUACGUGAAACCACAUGGAGGUUAAACAGAUAGAGUCAAGCUGCUUGCACCAUAUCAUUGCGAUAAGCGCAUAUUGUUACAUGACAUUUGCCUAGUCCUGACGUGUGAUUCUGCUUACUUGUAAGCAUUUGAGCAUGAGUGGUUGUUAAAGGAACUAGGUAAGUGUGUGCGUGUAUUGUGAAUGGUGGGUGCUAAUGCCAUAGUCGGUUGUGCUACCAGUACGCAAUAAUCAGCGAUUGUGCGGGCUGACAUGAUGUCGUUCGUGCAAUUAGUGAGACAGCUGUCAAGAGCUGGUGCUUGCAUUGGCUCUUGUCGAAAAAGACUGCGGUCUGUUGAUUAUUGUGAUCGCUGUGAGAGUGAACCGUUCACAUGUACUCGGUAAAUUUGUGAAGGUAGGCCGACUCGUUGGCUAUCUUCAUGGAUGAGUUUAUGAGCUAUGGUAUCGUGGUAGACUUUCUAUUUG